rnacentral:lncRNA from 1 species
GGAAAGUGGAAUGAUACUGGCCUUUCUGGAAUGGGAGCAGGUGUGUAUGUAUGAACUAUAGUAGAACAAGGUAGGCCAGAGAUUUUUUAAUGGAAAAUUGUUACACAAAAAUGUAGAAAAAUAAUUAAAAUGAUAUUUUUCCAGUUUUACAGCUGACUUUGGGGCAAAGGUUGUGGUUUCAAUGACCUGGCUUGGGGAAGAGGAACUUAGUAUUUUGGCUCAUCUCAGGGAGAAUCAGAGAAACUGUACACAUCCUGUGAACCAGGGCUCCACCAGACAUCGGGGAUGUAGAAGUUCACAAACCAAGAAGAGGUCCAGUGAGGAGACAGUUACGAGGUGUGAUUGAAAAGAAAUUCUCAAAGGCGGACUUCCCAGAGCUGCUUCAGGAAGAGACAAAAUGAGAUAACUGUUCAAGGCGGCAAGGAAUAUGUUGAAGGCAGUUCAUGGCAAUGUGUUUUUUACUGUAAUUAUUUCUAAAAUUCAUACACUCACUGUAUAUUUCAAUCAUACCUCAUAAUAAUGAAAAUUUUAAGAAGUGAAUAUGUCAUUAGGAAUGACAAGUCUCCAAAGAAUGAAAAUACACACACGAAAGUUAUUAAAAGAAACCAUC